UACGUAGGGUGCGAGCGUUGUCCGGAAUUACUGGGCGUAAAGCGUGCGUAGACGGUUGCGUAAGUCAGAUGUGAAAGCCCCGGGCUCAACCUGGGAAUUGCAUUUGAGACUGCGUAGCUAGGGUGCGGAAGAGGGAAGCGGAAUUUCCGGUGUAGCGGUGAAAUGCGUAGAUAUCGGAAGGAACACCGGUGGCGAAGGCGGUUCUCUGGGCCUGACCUGACGCUGAGGAGCGAAAGCGUGGGGAGCGAACAGG
rnacentral:rRNA from 1 species